ACACCAUUAAAACGGACGUCAGGCCGUCGAGAGUAAAUUAUGCGUGUCACCCUUUCGCUGCAAAAUUCUCUAACACUCUGGUUGAGAUACGUGCUGUUAUUCAAUGUGGGUGGUUGGGAGGCCAAAGUAGAGGCUAGUCGAAAAGUGAAAGUAGAAGGUGGCGAUUUACAGGCUCUGCAAGAAUUGGGUUCCAACUGUGGAAAUAUAAUGAUUCUCAGUAUAAAUAUAAACAAGCAGGACGUUGCGCUGGACCAGUUCCACAGCUUCAUACGUUGCUCUCAGAACGAACUCAACCCGGCGUUAGAAUAGAAGAGGGGUUCUCGAUAGAGGCGAAGCUCGGACGCUUGUUGUAUAAACUAAAAUGGAACUUAAACAAACAUACGGCUGAUUAAAACAAAGACAAUAAAUGAUUUGUAAACAAUCAGUAAAAUUUGACAGGCGAAAACUGGAAUUAACGAAAGUAUUAACUGUCAAGUAGAUUUCCAAUGCAGAUACCAAUAGAAAAGAAAAAAAUUACCCAAGUAACACACAAAACAUGUUAGAAAAGAAUUCACGAUGACAGUAGUCAUGAGCAAUUCUCGCUGAAACCGUCCCACUGGUGACAUGAGGUCUUUCAAAAAGGGUAUAUUAGUGUCUAAAUGAUUGAAAGUAGUGAAAAAUGAGAAAACCACUUUGGUUAGUUCAUAUUGAUGGACCCCUCGGGCACAAAUCGGUUAAACGGUUUCUACGAAAAUUGAUUUUUGAGAAAUUUUUGACCUUUUUAUUGAUUUAUUUCUCUUGAAUUUGUCAUUGAACCCCCUGCAACCAACGCAUCGUUUUCAAGAGGAAUGAUAGAGCUUUCAUUAGAAGUAGAAAAACAUGGCCGCCAUCUUGGAUUUCAUCAGAAAAACGUGUUUUUGAGCAAGUUAGCAAUCACUGAUAAUAAAUUUGACAUCACCAUUGGAAAACUGAGAAAAAAUGCUUUAAGAAACAUUCAAAAUAUUAGGUGAGCAUUGAGUUUACCUUGUCAUUCUGGUCACUUUUCAAAAUCGACCUUCAAACAGUUCAACGCAUGACGCGCGGCCAAUAUCAAAUCAUGCUGAGCCUGUGGUGUGUGUUAGGGUUUGCAAUAUUCCCAGGAAUCGAUUUCCCGGGAAACGGGAGUGAAAAAUCGAAUUUCCCGGGAAUUCCCGGGAACCGGGAACUGACAAAUUCUUUAGCACACACAUUUUGACAUUUUAAAUGAAAUUCAUCAGCAAAAGGUAACAAAAAAUUGUUUAAAAUUUCAUUCUCAAUCCACAUGAAAAACAAAAAAAAAAAACAAAUGAAAUACAAAACAUAAAACAUAAAAAAUUCGUGAUCGAUUUUUGUAGCAUAUAUUUGCAGAAGAGUAGACCCGAUCAGAAGAGCAUAACUAAAAAUUUGCAAAAUUCCAUCAACGGAAAAUACA